UGGGACUCUUACUGAAUGGAAAAGGCCAGAUAGUGACAGAUGAUGUGGAAAAAGCUGAAGUACUCAAUGCUUUUUUUUGCCUCGGUCUUCACAGACAAGGUCAGCUCCCAGACUGCUGCACUAGGUAACAUAGUAUGGGGAGGAAGUCAGCAGACCUCAAUGGUGAAAGAACAGGUUAAGGACUAUUUAGAAAAGCUGGACAUGCACAAGUCCAUGGGUUGAGAUCUAAUGCAUCCAAGGGUGCUGAGGGAGUUGGCUGAAGUGAUUGCAGA